UACGUAGGGACCAAGCGUUGUUCGGAAUCACUGGGCGUAAAGGGCGCGUAGGCGGCGCGGGUAGUCAUCGGUGAAAGUUCAGGGCUCAACUCUGAAUCGGCCGGUGAUACUCCCGUGCUCGAGCACUGUAGAGGCAGGUGGAAUUCCGGGUGUAGCGGUGGAAUGCGUAGAGAUCCGGAAGAACACCGGUGGCGAAGGCGGCCUGCUGGGCAGUAGCUGACGCUGAUGCGCGACAGCGUGGGGAGCAAACAGG
rnacentral:rRNA from 1 species